GCCCUCGUGGCGGAAUUGGUAUACGCGCAACGCUUAGGACGUUGUUCCUGUAAAGGAUUGGAGGUUCGAAUCCUCCCGAGGGCAUCA
rnacentral:tRNA from 1 species